UUUUUUGGACUUAAAUUAUUUUCUUUUUUGACUCCAAGGAUGACUAUCCAGAGGAUCAUUCUGUCUCAUGCACCAAACAAGCAUUAGUGGUAAAACAAACAGUGGAAUCUAUUACAAGAUUUGCCUAUCUGAUUUUCAUAAACAAGGAGACCUGCUGGACCAGUGAGACUGCUCAGAGGCAGUUCCGAUCAGCAUAACCGAGACAGAGAAUAAUGGACAUAAUAAAACAACACUUAGGAAGAUCUAAAUGGAGGUCUCUGUGGAACAGAUUCUCCUCUCUGCUUCAGUGAGCAAAGAGGAGAGACAAAGAAGUUGGAAUCCAGUUGGAGGAACUGAAAUGGAUGAGUUCCAUUCUGCAGCAUAUAUCUCUGUGCCUGCACCCGUCCCCUUCUGGCCACUGGAGAUUUACAUAUUUAGGAUUGGGACUCCUAUUGCCCCAGUAAUAUUGACAAAGAUAUUGCAGAUAUUCCAUUCAAUGUCCUUUUGCAAGUGAUGCAGCAUAGCUGCACGGUCAAGCAAUUAUUGGCAGCUUAGCUACUGAAGGAACCAUGCUGCCUGGGGAAAGAGGCCAGGAGGGUGGUUGUUAGAAGUCAGUGGGCCUCUGAAGGCACGCUCAUUUCCAUGGAGAUCUUGAGAUAUGUGGUAGCUUAGGGUUCCAAACUUCA
rnacentral:lncRNA from 1 species